rnacentral:rRNA from 1 species
GGAGUUUGGACCGUGUCUCAGUUCCAAUGUGGGGGACCUUCCUCUCAGAACCCCUAAGGAUCGUAGGCUCGGUGGGCCGUUACCCCGCCGACUACCUAAUCCUACGCAUCGCCAUCCCUUACCGAUAAAUCUUUCAUACUCUUCUGAUGCCAUCUAAAUAUAUAUCGGGCAUUAAUUCGGUUUUCGCCGGGCUGUGCCCUACUACGGGGAAGGUUGGAUACGCGUUACUCACCCGUGCGCCGGUCGCCAUCACAGAUAGCAAGCUACCUGCAUGCUGCCCCUCGACUUGCAUGUGUUAAGCCUGUAGCUAGCGUUCAUC